rnacentral:rRNA from 1 species
CUACGUGCCAGCAGCCGCGGUAAUACGUAGGUCCCGAGCGUUGUCCGGAUUUAUUGGGCGUAAAGCGAGCGCAGGCGGUUUGAUAAGUCUGAAGUUAAAGGCUGUGGCUCAACCAUAGUUCGCUUUGGAAACUGUCAAACUUGAGUGCAGAAGGGGAGAGUGGAAUUCCAUGUGUAGCGGUGAAAUGCGUAGAUAUAUGGAGGAACACCGGUGGCGAAAGCGGCUCUCUGGUCUGUAACUGACGCUGAGGCUCGAAAGCGUGGGGAGCGAACAGGAUUAGAUACCCUGGUAGUCCACGCCGUAAACGAUGAGUGCUAGGUGUUGGRUCCUUUCCGGGAUUCAGUGCCGCAGCUAACGCAUUAAGCACUCCGCCUGGGGAGUACGACCGCAAGGUUGAAACUCAAAGGAAUUGACGGGGGCCCGCACAAGCGGUGGAGCAUGUGGUUUAAUUCGAAGCAACGCGAAGAACCUUACCAGGUCUUGACAUCCCUCUGACCGCUCUAGAGAUAGAGUUUUC